GAUGAACGCUGGCGGCGUGCUUAACACAUGCAAGUCGAACGGAAAGGCUCCUGCUUGCAGGGGUACUCGAGUGGCGAACGGGUGAGUAACACGUGGGUGAUCUGCCCUGCACUUCGGGAUAAGCCUGGGAAACUGGGUCUACUACUGGAUAGGACGAUGGUUUGGAUGCCAUUGUGGACAGUUUUUUCGGUGUGGGAUGAGCUCGCGGCCUAUCAGCUUGUUGGUGGGGUAAUGGCCUACCAAGGCGUCGACGGGUAGCCGGCCUGAGAGGGUGUACGGCCACAUUGGGACUGAGAUACGGCCCAGACUGCUACGGGAGGCAGCGGUGGGGAAUAUUGCACAAUGGGCGCAAGCCUGAUGCAGCGACGCCGCGUGGGGGAUGACGGCCUUCGGGUUGUAAACUCCUAUCGCUAGGGACGAAGCGCAAGUGACGGUACCUGGAGAAGAAGCACCGGCUAACUACGUG
rnacentral:rRNA from 1 species